rnacentral:misc_RNA from 1 species
UACGGAGGGGGCUAGCGUUGUUCGGAAUUACUGGGCGUAAAGGGCGCGUAGGCGGCGGAUCAAGUCAGGCGUGAAAGCCCCGGGCUCAACCUGGGAACUGCGCUUGAUACUGAUUUGCUCGAGUCCGGGAGAGGUGAGUGGAAUACCCAGUGUAGAGGUGAAAUUCGUAGAUAUUGGGUGGAACACCAGUGGCGAAGGCGACUCACUGGACCGGAACUGACGCUGAGGCGCGAAAGCGUGGGGAGCAAACAGG